rnacentral:rRNA from 1 species
CGCGGCCUAUCAGCUUGUUGGUGAGGUAACGGCUCACCAAGGCGACGACGGGUAGCUGAUCUGAGAGGAUGAUCAGCCACAUUGGGACUGAGAUACGGCCCAGACUCCUACGGGAGGCAGCAGUGGGGAAUAUUGCGCAAUGGCCGCAAGGCUGACGCAGCGACGCCGUGUGUGGGAUGAAGGCCUUCGGGUUGUAAACCACUGUCAGGAGGGACGAAGCUCUGACGGUACCUCCAGAGGAAGCACCGGCUAACUCCGUGCCAGCAGCCGCGGUAAUACGGAGGGUGCGAGCGUUGUCCGGAAUCACUGGGCGUAAAGCGCGCGUAGGCGGCGUGGUAAGUCAGGUGUGAAAUCCCGGGGCUCAACUCCGGGCCUGCAUCCGAUACUGCCAUGCUAGAGCACGGUAGGGGCGAGUGGAAUUCCCGGUGUAGCGGUGGAAUGCGUAGAUAUCGGGAAGAACACCGGUGGCGAAGGCGGCUCGCUGGGCCGGUGCUGACGCUGAGGCGCGAAAGCGUGGGGAGCAAACAGGAUUAGAUACCCUGGUAGUCCACGCCGUAAACGAUGGGUACUAGGCGUCGGGGGGAACGACCCCUUCGGUGCCGUCGCUAACGCAGUAAGUACCCCGCCUGGGGAGUACGG